UGCGUAGGCGGUAUAUCAAGUCAGAUGUGAAAUCCCCGGGCUUAACUCGGGACGUGCAUUUGAAACUGGUAUACUUGAGUAAAGAAGAGGUAAGUGGAAUUCCUAGUGUAGCGGUGGAAUGCGUAGAUAUUAGGAGGAACACCAGUGGCGAAGGCGACUUACUGGUCUUUUACUGACGCUGAGGCACGAAAGCGUGGGGAGCAAACAGGAUUAGAUACCCUGGUAGUCC
rnacentral:rRNA from 1 species